UGGGGAAUAUUGCACAAUGGGCGAAAGCCUGAUGCAGCAACGCCGCGUGAGUGAUGAAGGCCUUCGGGUUGUAAAGCUCUGUCUUUUGGGACGAUAAUGACGGUACCAAAGGAGGAAGCCACGGCUAACUACGUGCCAGCAGCCGCGGUAAUACGUAGGUGGCAAGCGUUGUCCGGAUUUACUGGGCGUAAAGGAUGCGUAGGCGGAUUUUUAAGUGAGAUGUGAAAACCCUAAGCUUAACUUGGGGACUGCAUUUCAUACUGGAAAUCUAGAGUGCGGGAGAGGAGAAUGGAAUUCCUAGUGUAGCGGUGAAAUGCGUAGAGAUUAGGAAGAACACCAGUGGCGAAGGCGAUUCUCUGGACCGUAACUGACGCUGAGGCAUGAAAGCGUGGGUAGCAAACAGGAUUAGAUACCCUGGUAGUCCACGCCGUAAACGAUGAGUACUAGGUGUAGGAGGUAUCGACCCCUUCUGUGCCGGAGUUAACGCAAUAAGUACCCCGCCUGGGGGAGUACGGUCGCAAGACUGAAACUUAAAGGAAUUGACGGGG
rnacentral:rRNA from 1 species